GCACUGCCGUGCAGUCCCACAAUAGGACGAAACGGCCGUCCGGUAC
rnacentral:hammerhead_ribozyme from 1 species